ensembl:lncRNA
GAAUUAGCACUGGCUGGAUAGCCUAUUUUAAAUGCCGCCAGUAAGGAAAGAAAAGGCAGUUAUACUGUCUAAGUUUUCAAUUCAGACAAUAGGGUAACUGUAUCACUAAAAAAGAAAAGCAAAACUGAUAAAUGUUACAUACCAGUAGACAGUUAUAUAGUGUGCAUCCACUGUGAAUAAAGCAGAAAGUUUCUUGAGGUAGCUAUGUCACAUAUCGCAGGUUUAUUAAAAUAAAAUUGAAGCUCCUAUCUUAAAGGCUUAAAAGUACCUUAUAUAUAUAUAUUUACAUAACAUUUUUAAAUGGAAUUACAAUAGGGCUUUAUUUUUAGAGCCAGUAAGCAUCGGUUGAUGUGAGAGGGCAGCUGUAGUGUUCAGUGGAGCUUUGCAUCUCUGCAUGACAUUGCUCAAAGCUCUGUUCAUAGUGCACAAAUUAUUUUUUGCCUAAAGUCUUCUUCAAACAUCUCUACGCAGAUCAAUCAGUCUGUCAUCGAGCAAAUGAAGAACAUACUGUGUGAAGUCCACUGCACCAAGUAUUUCCAUGCUGUCCCUUAGGUACCCCCAGAAAGCAUACACAUUUGCAAAAGCUAAUACUCACUUUUCUCCCCCUCUAUGUGGGCCUAAGACUAAACGGUGUAAGAUUUCUUCUGAUCAACAACCUAAAAUUCAGUUAACUAUUAAGAGCCAGCAUUACAUGUGCUAUCGGUGAAUCUUAGCUUAAGAUGCACAUUUCUCAUUUCAGCUGUUCUCAUGCUGUGUGUGCUGACACAGCUUUCCACUGCCUCCCAGCCACACAUUGCAUAAUGCUUUGGGAAACUAAGCAAUAGUCGCUCUCGGUUUUAGUUUCUUGUUGGUAAAGCUUGUUUUCAUACUGUUCUAUAGGUUCACUUUUUAUCGGUCUCUGUUCUGUACUGAAUGCUUCAGAGUCUGAAGAGAGGCUGCUGCAAGUUGUGUGGGAUGAGUCUUUUCAAACAUUAGUCCUGCUGCUUCACUAUUACAAACGAGUUAACCUUUGAAGGUCCCUUCCAACUCAACUGAUUCUACUCUCUGAUUUUCAGCAGCUGAAGAGAUACAUUCUUCUUUUCCUAUCACUAGCAGAUGGAUGCAGGUUUAGAAGUUAUGGGAUCAUUUGGUUUAUCGAGAGUUUAUCAAUAGAGGACCAUGAUUUUACAUAAGUAUGUUAGGCGUAUCAGCUGUCAUGCUGCACUAGCAUCAGUAAACUUCCUGAAUUUAUGACUCACCGUGGGAUCAUUCAGUGAUAUAACAGCUAGGCAGCACUUCAGCCUCAGCCCUUAGCUGCUGCCUUAACUUACCAUGAAUGUAUUUUGUCAACAUUGUGGAAUAUAAAAAUAUUGUACACAGACAACUCCUAUAAUAGAUACGAAAUACAAGUCUUUAUCCUAAUACUAAGCUUUCCUGAGAGUGGAGUCCUACCUGCCAGCCUCACGGACGAAGAGCCGCGAAGGUAAAUC